rnacentral:rRNA from 1 species
UAGGGAAUCUUCGGCAAUGGACGAAAGUCUGACCGAGCAACGCCGCGUGAGUGAAGAAGGUUUUCGGAUCGUAAAACUCUGUUGUUAGAGAAGAACAAGGACGUUAGUAACUGAACGUCCCCUGACGGUAUCUAACCAGAAAGCCACGGCUAACUACGUGCCAGCAGCCGCGGUAAUACGUAGGUGGCAAGCGUUGUCCGGAUUUAUUGGGCGUAAAGCGAGCGCAGGCGGUUUCUUAAGUCUGAUGUGAAAGCCCCCGGCUCAACCGGGGAGGGUCAUUGGAAACUGGGAGACUUGAGUGCAGAAGAGGAGAGUGGAAUUCCAUGUGUAGCGGUGAAGUGCGUAGAUAUAUGGAGGAACACCAGUGGCGAAGGCGGCUCUCUGGUCUGUAACUGGCGCUGAGGCGCGAAAGCGUGGGGAGCAAACAGG